rnacentral:rRNA from 1 species
UACAGAGGGGGCAAGCGUUAUUCGGAAUUACUGGGCGUAAAGGGCUCGUAGGCGGCCAACUAAGUCAGACGUGAAAUCCCUCGGCUUAACCGGGGAACUGCGUCUGAUACUGGAUGGCUAGAGUUUGGGAGAGGGAUGCGGAAUUCCAGGUGUAGCGGUGAAAUGCGUAGAUAUCUGGAGGAACACCGGUGGCGAAGGCGGCAUCCUGGACCAACACUGACGCUGAGGAGCGAAAGCCAGGGGAGCAAACGGG